rnacentral:rRNA from 1 species
UACAGAGGAGCCAAGCGUUGUCCGGAUUGACUGGGCGUAAAGCGCGUGUAGGCGGUCCGGUAAGUCCGCUGUGAAAGUCGGGGGCUCAACCCUCGAAUGCCGGUGGAUACUGUCGGGCUAGAGUACGGAAGAGGCGAGUGGAAUUCCUGGUGUAGCGGUGAAAUGCGCAGAUAUCAGGAGGAACACCAAUUGCGAAGGCAGCUCGCUGGGACGUUACUGACGCUGAGACGCGAAGCGUGGGGAGCAAACAGG